UACGGGGGGGGCAAGCGUUGUUCGGAAUUACUGGGCGUAAAGGGCUCGUAGGCGGCCAACUAAGUCAGACGUGAAAUCCCUCGGCUUAACCGGGGACUGCGUCUGAUACUGGAUGGCUUGAGGUUGGGAGAGGGAUGCGGAAUUCCAGGUGUAGCGGUGAAAUGCGUAGAUAUCUGGAGGAACACCGGUGGCGAAGGCGGCAUCCUGGACCAAUUCUGACGCUGAGGAGCGAAAGCCAGGGAGCAAAGCGGG
rnacentral:rRNA from 1 species